rnacentral:pre_miRNA from 1 species
AUAAUACUCCCUCCGUCCGGAAUUACUUGUCAUCAAAAUGGAUGUGUCUAGAACUAAAAUACAUCUAGAUACAUCCAUUUCAAUGACAAGUAUUUUCUGAUGGAGGGAGUAGUAG